GGUCACUGUUGGGAGCCUGUCUGGCUGCAGGACUGCUCCCCACCUGGGCCCUGGACUGUGGGAAGUGACCCCUGCAGCCACGUGGAACUCUCCUGUUAUUCCAGUUGAAGAGAGACCAUAUGGCAUUCUGGAGAUGGCUGGAUGCAAGCAUUUAAAACCUUCGAGAGAAUACAGUGCACCAAGGAGACUAUUAUUAUGAUUAUUGGGAGGAUGAUACCAAGAGUUUGGAGUAUACUCUCUACCCAAGGUCCCCAUAAACCAAACCUCCUAAAACUAAAUAGAUCAAAGAAUGAGCUAGAUAAAGAGUUUACUCACUUGAGUAAGCAACUUCUUCAUCAGUCCCCUACCACUGAUUUUCUGUAAUCUUCAUUUGAUGUAUUUCCCCAUAGGCUACAAGUGCUAGCAGCUGCACAGGUACUUUUCUGUUUAGCUAAUUCUAUUAUUUAGCAUAAGUUUCACAAGAGAAUCUAAAGUUUGUUGUGUAACUGUAGCCUUUACAGUAGAAUUUGCUAUAGAACCUAUCAUGAGGGAUACAUUUCUAAUCAUUGCUUCUUUUACUUUAAACCAUGG
ensembl:lncRNA novel transcript